rnacentral:tRNA from 1 species
GCCUAGGUGGCUCAGUCAGGUGGGCAUCUGACUUCGGCUCAGAUCAUGAUCUCAUGGCUCGUGGGUUCGAGCCCUGUGUUGGGCU